GGCUAUGCUGGGUUUUCUUUUCGCUCGUCAGGCAGGUGUAGAUGACCCGCUGAGGUUCCGACGAGCGGAGGCUACGAGGAGGGUAUUAAGCUUGGAAUUAAAUAAGAACAAAGAUGUUGAAAGAAUUCACGGAAGUGGAAUUAAUACCUUGGAUAUUGAACCUGUUGAAAAUCGAUAUAUGUUAUCUGGUGGUUCUGAUGGUACUAUUGUAUUGUAUGACCUUGAGAACUUUAGCAGAACGCCAUGUUAUACCUGUAAAGUGAUUUGUUCUGUGGGAAGGAACCAUCCUGGUGUUCAUAAAUACAGCGUAGAGACUGUUCAGUGGUAUCCUCAUGAUACUGGCAUGUUUACCUCAAGUUCAUUUGAUAAAACACUGAAAAUAUGGGAUACAAAUACUUUACAGCCUGCUGAUGAAUUUCAUUUUGAUGGGACAGUUUACAGCCAUCAUAUGUCUCCUGUUGCUACAAGACAUUGCUUAAUUGCAGUUGGUACCAAAAGCUCCAAAAUACAGCUUUGUGACUUCAAGUCUGGAUCUUGUUCUCACAUUCUGCAGGGUCACACUCAAGAAAUUCUAGCAGUAUCUUGGUCACCACGUUAUGAAUUUAUUUUAGCAACUGGAAGUGCUGACAGUAGAGUGAAAUUGUGGGAUGUAAGGAGAGCCUCUGCCUGUCUGCUCACUCUUGAUCAGCAUAAUGGGGAGAAGUCAAAAGCAGCUUCUGAAGCAAUAAAUACUGCCCAUAAUGGAAGAGUCAAUGGCUUAUGUUUUACCAGCGAUGGGCUUUACCUUUUAACAAUUGGUACAGAUGAUCGUAUGAGACUCUGGAAUAGUUCAACUGGAGAGAACACACUGGUAAAUUAUGGGAAGGUGAGCAAUGAAAGUAAAAAAGGACUCAGAUUUACUGUAUCACAUGGCUGCAGUUCUGAAUUUGCAUUUGUGCCCUGCGAUAGCACUGUUGCUGUUUACACAAUUUAUUCAGGAGACCUAAUAACUAUGCUUAGGGGACAUUAUAGUUCGGUUGACUGCUGUGUCUUUCAACCUAAUUUUCAGGUAAGUGAAGCCAUCUGGAGAAUUUUAGGUUAUUUAAGCAUGACACCAAACAGGUUUUACUUAAAACACUCAGCUAUAUUGAGUACAUAGUCCCUAUAAAGAUUAUAUGCAAUUCAAGUGUUCUUCAGUUUAAGAAGGCAAAGCCUUUCAGCUUUUCACUUUGAGGUUGAAUAUGAGUCUCUCCGUGUGUUUCUCUAGCGUUUAAAGUAAGAGAAUGACUAUUUCUAUGCAUGGGAUUUCAGUUGUUUAAUAGACAAAUGAUGAUGUAUUUCUUUAAGAUUAUCCCUUCCCAUUAGCAGCAUGUCUCAUUUGUGCAAAAAUAAAUUCUGCUAUGUAUUUAAGAGGUUAUAAUAGGGAAUUCAACUGGUAUAUAUAUUGGGGAAUUCAACUGAGAGCGGCAUGGUAGCCUAGUGGUGCCUCCCACUCAGAAGAUUGAGCGUUCAAUCCUAGGUAGUUGCAUGUGUUUUUCUCCUAGGGUGCAAAGAAAAAAAUACUUGCUGCAAACUCCGCGUGGCAUCAGGAAGGGCAUCCGGCCAGCAAACUCUCGGCUUCAUCUAGUCACCCAAACUCUACCCUAAAUUAAGGGAUUACAGGAUUUUUAUGAUUUUAAACUAAAUAUAUUGAAGGACCAGGUUCUUUGGGACCUUUGAAGUUGCAAAACAAAACAAGUAUGCUUGAGAUCCCAUCUAGUGCUCCUAAUCAGAUCGACUAAUACUGAACUAGAUGAUCUAACAGCCUGAUCCGAUUUAAAGCAGCUUCCUGUCUUUACAGCAGUCUACCAUGUCAGCAUUACAAUAAUGCUAGUACACAAAUUAAGGAACUUUAUAGCAGUGGCAGAGAUGGCAAUAUUCUUGCCUGGGUGCCCUAUUUGAGGGAACCAGAACCUGAUGAUACU